CCUGCUGUAUGUACUGGUCGAAUUUGAAGUGAAUUGGAGUUUCCCCCUCGGACGAGUUCGCUCUAGAAAAAAACAAAAAAUGUUCAAAAUCUGGAAUUCAACGCAAAAUAGCUCACUUCCUGUUGGGUUUAGAAAAUCGCCACCACUGACUUUUUUGUUCACCCUGAUGUGCUGCAUAUGUGUACCAAAUUUGGUAGCUGUAGGUGAAACAUGAUGGCCGUGGGAAAGUGUAGGGGGCGCUAUGGAGCCAUUUUGCCACACACCUCCACAAUUCCUUUAAAAUAUGAAAUUUUUCAUCAGUCCUGAUGUGUGUACAAAUUUUCAUGAGUUUUUGAGCAUGUUUAGGCCCUCAAAAAUGCAAUUGUUCUGAGAGACAAAUAAUAAUAAUAAUUAAAGCUGCGAGCAGCGUUGAACGGGUCCUCGCAUACUUGCUGGUCGGCGACCCCAAGCAUCUCCACCAGGCAAUGCUACGACUGAGAGUGUAUUUAGGCCCAUGAAUGUCACAAAGGCUGGAUUCUGAGCACACAGGUCAAAUUUCAGGCAGAUUUGAGCAUGUACAGGCUAUUUAUGCAGCACUUUGUGUCCAUCCACCAGGUGGCGCUAUCUCUGUGACUGUAUGUUGGUCUAUGAAACUCAUCAGGACUGGACUCUGAUCAAACAUGUAAAGUUUGAGGCGGAUUGCAGCGUGUACAGGGGAUUUACACAAGACGUCCUGCUUCAUGGUGUAACAUUAAACUUCAGCUGCCCGCCAUGGCCACGCCCUUUGAGUUUUAUGAACAAUUUUUGCAAAUAUGCAACCUGAAGACGUGUCUUAUAUAUUUUCCCAAAUUCAGAUGUUUUGGAGUUAUUGCCUGUGAGAAAUGAAUUUUUGAAAAUGACCAAAAACACCAAAAAUCUGACAUUUAAUUAAAAAUGGCCGACUUUCUGUUGGGUUUAGAGAAUGACUCCAAGAGACUUUUUUGUUUGCACUGACAUGCUACAUUUGCAUGCCAAAUUUCAUAGUCCUAGCUGAAAGUCUCUGUGGAGGCUAUUUUUUAAAUGCUGUAGGGGGCGCUAUGACACAUACUGUGGAUGUAUUUUGGCCUAUAAAUGUGAUCAGGACAGGACUGUGUUCAAUCAUGUGAGGUCUGAGGUAGACUGGAGCAUGCAGAGGAUAGUUUGAUAGCACUUGAUGUUUCAUGGCAAACCAUCAAAAUUCUGGAGGUCGCCAUGUCCACACCCUUUAACUCUGGAAGAAUCUUUUAAUAACUUUUGAUCAUAACAUUGUGUUGUAUAUCCUGGCAAAAUGUCAGGUCUCUAGCAGUUAAACCCUCGGAGGAGUUCGCUCUCAAAAAUUAAAAAAAUAGAGAAAAUUUGUCCACUUAAUUCAAAAUGGCGGACUUCCUGUUGGGUUUAGGGGAUGGCUCCAAGAGGCUUUUUUGUGCGUUCUAAUGUGCUCUAUAUGUCUCCCAAAUUUUGAGGAUGUAGGUGAAAUGUGCUGCCGGGGCUGUUUAUUAAACAUACUGUAGGGGGCGCAAUAGCACAUGCCCUGCAGAGAUGUAUACAUUCUUAUUCCUGGAGACGACAGUGAUGUGUGUGUAAAUUUUGGUGAGCUGCUGAACAUUCUAAGCCUGUCAAAAAGUACUUUGUUUGUCACAAAAACAACGCGUUGCCACGGCAACAGCAUUUCAUCAAAUAUCAAAAUCUUCACACUGUGGUAUUGUCUGGGGGUGAAGAAUCAGCUGACCAAUUUUCAGAAUGAUAUGACAAAGUUUGGAGCAAUGAUGUGUGCAAAUGUAAUUUCUAAACUGCUUGUUACCAAGAUGUGGCGCUAUGACUUUUUCUAAAUUUUUCAGUGUGGAUGUCCUCAAACUGGUUCUGGUGUCCAGCACAUGAAGUUUGGGGCAGAUAGGAUCCUUUGCAGCAGAGAUAUGAACACUUCAAUUUUCAUGGUGAAACAUCAAACUUUGCCGUCCCGCCACAGACACGCCUUUUCAUCACACGUCACCAUUUUUUCUGUGCUUCAUCAUCAAUGUGUUCAGGCUUAUGUCACAACAUCUGAGGUGAAUCUGAGCAACAGGCUAAGAAUAGUACAUGAAAGUCUAAAAAAUGUCAAAUUCUUGAUACCACAAGGUGGCGCUGUGACUGUGAAUGAAUCUUGCUGUAUGGAUGUCAUCGAGGCAGGUCUGUGACAAUACAUGUAAAGUUUCAUUCAGAUCGGAGCAUGUUCAGGAGAGUUAGACAGCAUUUCCUGUUUCAUGGCGAAGGAUCAAAUUUCGACAGGCCGCCACGACCACACCCUUUAACUAUGGAGGAAGAUUUUGAUAACUUUUUCUCAGGAAGGCCUGCUGUAUGUGCUGGCCAAAUUUCAGAUCGCUACGACUUUCCCCCGAGGAGGAGUUCAUCAUAGAUUUUGUACAGUUAACGCAUGAUGGCGCACUUCCUGUUGGGUGUAGAGCAUGGCUGUGAUUGACUUUUUUGUGUUUCCUGAUGUGCUGCAUAUGCCUCCCAAAUUUUGUAAGUCUCAACCAAAUUCCCUCUGAGUUGGCCUAAUACCACUUUUUAAAAUUUUGUAGGGGGCGCUAUGGAGCUAUUUUGGCACACACCUCCACAUGCCCUACAAAAUAUGAAAUUUUUCGCCAGUUCUGAUGUGUGUGCAAAUUUUCAUGACUUUUCGAGCAUGUUCAGGCCCUGAAAAAUGCAGUUGUUUUGGCAGAAUAAUAAUAAUAAUAAUUAAAGCUGCGAGCAGCGUUGAACGGGUCCUCGCAUCCUUGCUGGUCGGCGACCCCAAGCAUCUCCACCAGGCAAUGCUACGACUGAGAGUGUAUUUAGGCCCACGAAUGUCACAAAGGCUGGAUUCUGAGCACACAGGUCAAAUUUCAGGCAGAUUGGAGCAUGUACAGGCUAUUUAUGCAGCACUUUCUGUCCAUCCACCA